rnacentral:rRNA from 1 species
CGGCGUGCCUAAUACAUGCAAGUCGAGCGGACAGAAGGGAGCUUGCUCCCGGAUGUUAGCGGCGGACGGGUGAGUAACACGUGGGUAACCUGCCUGUAAGACUGGGAUAACUCCGGGAAACCGGAGCUAAUACCGGAUAGUUCCUUGAACCGCAUGGUUCAAGGAUGAAAGACGGUUUCGGCUGUCACUUACAGAUGGACCCGCGGCGCAUUAGCUAGUUGGUGAGGUAACGGCUCACCAAGGCGACGAUGCGUAGCCGACCUGAGAGGGUGAUCGGCCACACUGGGACUGAGACACGGCCCAGACUCCUACGGGAGGCAGCAGUAGGGAAUCUUCCGCAAUGGACGAAAGUCUGACGGAGCAACGCCGCGUGAGUGAUGAAGGUUUUCGGAUCGUAAAGCUCUGUUGUUAGGGAAGAACAAGUGCAAGAGUAACUGCUUGCACCUUGACGGUACCUAACCAGAAAGCCACGGCUAACUACGUGCCAGCAGCCGCGGUAAUACGUAGGUGGCAAGCGUUGUCCGGAAUUAUUGGGCGUAAAGGGCUCGCAGGCGGUUUCUUAAGUCUGAUGUGAAAGCCCCCGGCUCAACCGGGGAGGGUCAUUGGAAACUGGGAAACUUGAGUGCAGAAGAGGAGAGUGGAAUUCCACGUGUAGCGGUGAAAUGCGUAGAGAUGUGGAGGAACACCAGUGGCGAAGGCGACUCUCUGGUCUGUAACUGACGCUGAGGAGCGAAAAGCGUGGGGAGCGAACAGGAUUAGAUACCCUGGUAGUCCACGCCGUAAACGAUGAGUGCUAAGUGUUAGGGGGUUUCCGCCCCUUAGUGCUGCAGCUAACGCAUUAAGCA